AUUUAUCUCUCGAGGGGGUGUCUAACUCAGUGUUACAGUGUGUUUGACCCUAAAUUAAUUUUACACCGGAAUAUCCCUUUAACUCUGUACUGAGAGUACAAUUAGAAAACUGAUCCCACCCACAUGUUGGUCCCAUGCUGAACCCGUGCAAAGGUUAAUAUGUCUAUUAGUGAGGUGUUCAAUAUUCUCAGGUUUACACACAGAGCAUUUCUCCUCUGCCAAUCCCUGAAAUCAAACUUUCUAAACGUGCUGAUACAUGAAAUUGAGUCAUACACAAAAUUCCUCUGCAGUCAUGCUUUCGACAAAGAGCUAAUGUGAGACUAUAAUUGGACCAGAUCAUGUAAGUUGGCUGCCUGUUUUUUUUUUUGCUUACAUCCACAAACUAUUAAAAGUGAGUCUUCCAGGAGCGUGACUCACAGUGCGGCAUGACUUCGCCACACGAAACUCUCACUAUCUCUCAGCUGGUGUUGGGUGAGAAAUAUUUCGAAUCCCUGAGCCAAGUUCUUCUCCAGCUCUCCUCCUGUUAUUCUAUAUUUAUAUGUGUUACAACAUACAGCAUGCAAACAAAACAGCUUUGGGGAGUUUUUGUCAGAGUGAGAUUAACUUAUGACCCUCUGUAAAAAUACAAACUGGCACUUUUUCAGCAAAUACUGGCUCAGACAAAAACCAAGAGUGUCCUUCAAGAUGUUUUUUAAUCAGGAGGCCAGAUGGUUUUAAAGAAGAAGGAUCACCAUUGUGUUGCACUGCAGAAAAAAUCACUAAAAGCUUUUUUUUAUUUUUGGACAAGCGUCAUAACUCGGGGUCAAAUAUCACUCUCAGUAUCAGCUUCAGAUACUAAUAUCUGGAUUAGUUUGCAGUUCCAGUGUUGGUUCCUAUCAUUACAUGAACUGGAACCUUUUCAUUUGAUAGCAUAUAUGAUGAUGUGGAGGAGUUUGGACAGUGCCGUUGAUGAUACCUGUAUUGGUAUCGGUAAUGAUGUCCAGUUUAUCAGUAUAUAUCUGUAUCUGUGAUUUUAAUUGUACUAACAAAAGAGGAAAAGACAUUUCUGGUGUCUAAACAUGAUUAAGAACAACAGUUUGGUGUUGGGCGAGCAGUUCCAGAACCAGAAUACCAGUACUGACUCAGAUAUAGAGUCUGUAUCAUGUUGGUUUAAAACAGUUGGUUUAGUUGUGUGAGUAUCACAAACAGCCACAGUUUAGCACUUGCUUUGCCAAUACUGAUACUGAUAUCUGUAUUGGUAGUAUCUGUAUUGGUAUCAGAAUACUGGUUUUAGCUGUGUGAACACACCUUAUAACAACAGUUUAGUGCAAGCUGUACUAGUAUAGGUUCUGAUACUGAUAUCUUAGUGUUGAUACAGGUUUAAAAACAAGUGAUUAUAGUUAUGACAGACACCAUACAGUUUGAUGCUAGCAGUGUAAGUGGAUACAGAUACUGAUAAAAAAUAUUGGUAUCAGUAUCACAAUACUGGAUUUAAAACAAAAAAAGUUGCACAUACUUGGUAAUGAUAUCAGUACUGAUAUCGGUUUAGAUCAGGUGGUUUUGGUUAGCAUGAUUACCAACUACAGUUUGGUGCUUAAUGCAUUUAUAUCGAUAUUGAUACUAAUACAGAUAUUUUUAUUAGUAUCACAAUACUGGCCUAAAGAGAGUUGCUUCAACUAACAACAGUUUAGUGCAAACUGUACAAAUAUUGAUACCAAUACUAAUAUUGGUAUUGAUACUGAUAUAUGUACAAGUAUCAUAACACUGGCUUAUAAAAAGUUGUUUUGUUGUGUAGACUCAAAACAAUAGUUUGGUUCAAGCAGUCGAGACCAAUAUCAAUACUGAUACCGAUAGCUAUCCUUAUAGCUAUAUCAAUAUUGGUAUUUACAUAGGUUUAUAAAAAGGUGAUUUUAGUUGUGUGAGCAUUAAAAAACAACACUUUGGUGAUAGCAGUACCUGCGUCGAUAUUGGUUCUAAUGCAUAUAUCAGUACUUGUAUGCAACUCUUCAAAAGAACAACCUUUCAAUUAUUUGCGUAUCGUCUAUCUUCUAAUUAUUCCAUCCAAAGACGAGGUUGUUAAAGUGAUGAUAUUUAAGUCAAAGUUUCAUGAUCUGUAAAGGUCAAGAGAAAAAUAGUAUCACUUUUUCUCAUCUGAUUUUUCUUCCUUUUCCUCUGGAAGCUUAAACUGUCGAACAGAACUGGGCCGUAUUUUGUUUUAGAGUCGUACAAAAUAAGCGAUUUCAGCUGUAUAACCAUUGACUUUCCCUGUUCGGCAUUCAUGCUCGGAUUUAGAUGCUAAGUCCUCCUCAGAUGCCUUUCCUCGGCCUGUGCAGCUGCUUCCUUGCCCCUCAGGUGCAGAACACAGAGGUCUUGAUCCCUUGACCUCAGCGAGCCUUGUCAGAUCCCUGAAAAUAGAUCCGUUCUCUGAUUCCAGCAAAGUCAGACGUGUUUGCCAGGCUGGAAGACGCUGUCAAGUCGGAGGAUGUGGUGGUUCAAUGCCUCGAUGUACCCACUGACAAACACAAACAAGAUAUUUGAAAUUGUAGUAACAGAGCGCCGUUCUUUCCUCCACCGACUGACAUUUGUUCUCUGUAUUCGCUGGGAGAUGAGCUUUUUAUUGUUUGAUUGACAGCCCCGAUCUGAAAGGACCUCUGUCGGGUUUGUUGUGGGACGAGACAGACGCAGAGGAGGCGUAGGUUGAAUGCUGGGAGCUAGCAGCUGGACUGACAGACCAGACAGACAUGCUUUAUUUGUCUCUGAAAGACAAAUCGUGGCACUGCGGCGGCUCCUCUGGCCAAAUCAAACCCAGUAGCUCAGUUAGGGCUUGAGGGGCAGCUGUGAGAGUGGUGGGCUGUCAACCGUCCGUUUCCUCCUCCGCUGGUACACCAAGGACUGGUUUGAUUCUCCGCCGAAAGGCUUCACUCACUCUUUUAUUUCGAGUUUUACUUUUUUUUUUUUCAGUGCAUUUUUUUUCCCCGUCUCACCCUUUUCUGCCUGUCUUUUCUUGUUUAACUCCGCUCCACUUCUGUCUUCGCAACGAGCUCUGAGGUACGAGGAGGGAAAGAGGGAAGAUCAAAGGCGCCCACACACUCUGCCCUCCAAUAUCAUUAGGCUAUCUCUGAUGGCGUUAUUAUAGUAUCUGCCGUGUGUGUGUGUGUGAGGUUUGGUCUGAUUUUUUCAUCCUUUGCUUGAGUGAUCCGUGUGCGCUCACGUAAGCCGCCAGUACGUGCCUCGCCUUCCUCUGGCACAGGGCCCCGCCGCCGCCGUCGGGCCGCCUCUCCCGUCGAGCGAGACGUCCGAACUCCCCUCCAGCGCGGCUCAUGAGGGAGCUGCCCUCUGUUUGAUGUCACUUCUGUUUUGCUCUGAUCUUCCUCCACCAAAGCCUCGCAGCAGCCGAGCCGCGCACAGCAGCUGAGAUAAUGGAGGAGCGCCAUGACGGGGGAAAACAUCUGGAGCGUGCAGGAGCAAAGGUCCCAAACCUCACGCUGAAUCAAAGCCCACCUCUGCCGCCUGCGCCGCACCAGUUCCUGCACUAAAUUAUCUGCAACUGUUCUUGUUAAAAGGAAUUGCAUCCUAUUUUUUUCAGACUUUGCUGCAAAUAAUAUCAUUGUGAUACAAAAAUAUGCAUUUUAUGUUAGAGCUGGAUACCUUU